rnacentral:rRNA from 1 species
UAAGACGAACCGUGCGAACGUUGUUCGGAAUCACUGGGCUUAAAGGGCGCGUAGGCGGGUCGGUCAGUCCGGGGUGAAAGCCCCCAGCUCAACUGGGGAAGCGCCUUGGAGACGGCCGGUCUUGAGGGAGGUAGGGGCGUGCGGAACUUCCGGUGGAGCGGUGAAAUGCGUAGAUAUCGGAAGGAACACCGAUGGCGAAAGCAGCGCGCUGGAUCUCUUCUGACGCUGAGGCGCGAAAGCCAGGGGAGCAAACGGGAUUAGAUACCCCGGUAGUCCUGGCCCUAAACGUUGGGUACUAGGUUGUGGACUUACAUGGGUUCCCAGCCGAAGCUAAAGUAUUUAGUACCCCGCCUGGGGAGUAUGGUCGCAAGGCUG